CGCCCACAUCGGCGGCUUGGCGCCCGCCGGGUCGCGGGCCUGGCACUCGCGCUGGUUGGCGCAGUCCACCGUGGGCAGCCA
rnacentral:tRNA from 1 species